rnacentral:rRNA from 1 species
CACGGGGGGAGCAAGCGUUGUUCGGAAUCACUGGGCGUAAAGGGCGUCUAGGCGGUCAGAUAAGUGGGAUGUGAAAUGCCCCGGCUCACCCGGGGACCGGCAUCCCAAACUGUCUGGCUUGAGUAUGGGAGAGGAUGUGGGAAUUCCUGGUGUAGCGGUGAAAUGCGUAGAUAUCAGGAGGAACACCGGUGGCGAAGGCGCACAUCUGGCCCAAUACUGACGCUAAAGCGCGAAAGCUAGGGGAGCGAACGGG